rnacentral:rRNA from 1 species
UAAUACGUAGGGUGCGAGCGUUAAUCGGAAUUACUGGGCGUAAAGCGUGCGCAGGCGGCUUUGUAAGACAGGUGUGAAAUCCCCGGGCUUAACCUGGGAACUGCGCUUGUGACUGCAAGGCUCGAGUGCGGCAGAGGGGGGUGGAAUUCCACGUGUAGCAGUGAAAUGCGUAGAGAUGUGGAGGAACACCGAUGGCGAAGGCAGCCCCCUGGGUCGACACUGACGCUCAUGCACGAAAGCGUGGGUAGCAAACAGG